AUCUACAGCCAUGCCACCUUGAACAUGCCUGAUCUCAUCUGAUCUCGGAAGCUAAGUAGGGUCGGACGUGGUUAGUACUUGGAUGGGAGAUAAAUCUUGGAAAAAAUAUAAAUGAAGUUU
rnacentral:rRNA from 1 species